GAUGCGGGUGUUGCAAGCCGACGCUUCAUCUGAUCGAAACUGCUCUGCUCAUAUUUGAAGGCCGCAGUCAUUAUACGGUUACUCUGCACAAAUUCAUGGCAGGGGAUGUCCUAUCCUUUCCGCUGCCUCACGGUACAAUGUGGGGCUCGCCAAUCGAUGCGGAGAAGAUCUCACCGGCCGAUGCAGGGAAGUUCAUCCGCCGUUUUUCAAGCGAGGAGUAAAGUGCUCGCUUGUUUUGUAUAUAUCAAUUAAUGGCAGUCGAGGGAGCGAUGGUGAUGGAUGGUGGAGGUGCGGUACAAUUUUGCUCUGGUUAUGGUAUAUUGUUUGGGGACUAUUCAAGGCUGGUUCUGGAAUUUUAUUGGAAGAGAUAUUGAUGGGUUGACUAUUUGCAAUGGCAAUCAGGUCUUUUACUAUUAGGCCAACAACAAGCGCAGGCUGCACGCCGCGAGCACUGAGCGCAGUCGAUGAGCUCGCCGCCUGUUGAAACUCCGUUGCUGAACAUGUAUGGUGACCUUAAUAUAUAUCUCACAAACUACAUCAUGAUUGGUCUCUGCCCUUGGAAGCCCUUGGGAAGUCAUCAAACGAGGCAUCUCAUCUAUCCUUAGCAUCAGCAUAGCAAGGACGAUGAAGUGAGUUUGAGCCAAGACCUCUAAUGAUGUUUCUACUUCUCUUUCUUCAAGUGCCUUCAUCUGGUGGGCAUAAGUAGUCUUAGUAUUGUACCUGGUAUUGAUAUCCAGUUUCAAUGCUUUAGCAUUUUUGUUUCAAACAUUUUGAAAUGACUUAUAAAACACAGAACAC